rnacentral:rRNA from 2 species
GAACGCUGGCGGCGUGCCUAAUACAUGCAAGUCGAACGAGUUCUCGUUGAUGAUCGGUGCUUGCACCGAGAUUCAACAUGGAACGAGUGGCGGACGGGUGAGUAACACGUGGGUAACCUGCCCUUAAGUGGGGGAUAACAUUUGGAAACAGAUGCUAAUACCGCAUAGAUCCAAGAACCGCAUGGUUCUUGGCUGAAAGAUGGCGUAAGCUAUCGCUUUUGGAUGGACCCGCGGCGUAUUAGCUAGUUGGUGAGGUAAUGGCUCACCAAGGCGAUGAUACGUAGCCGAACUGAGAGGUUGAUCGGCCACAUUGGGACUGAGACACGGCCCAAACUCCUACGGGAGGCAGCAGUAGGGAAUCUUCCACAAUGGACGCAAGUCUGAUGGAGCAACGCCGCGUGAGUGAAGAAGGCUUUCGGGUCGUAAAACUCUGUUGUUGGAGAAGAAUGGUCGGCAGAGUAACUGUUGUCGGCGUGACGGUAUCCAACCAGAAAGCCACGGCUAACUACGUGCCAGCAGCCGCGGUAAUACGUAGGUGGCAAGCGUUAUCCGGAUUUAUUGGGCGUAAAGCGAGCGCAGGCGGUUUUUUAAGUCUGAUGUGAAAGCCCUCGGCUUAACCGAGGAAGCGCAUCGGAAACUGGGAAACUUGAGUGCAGAAGAGGACAGUGGAACUCCAUGUGUAGCGGUGAAAUGCGUAGAUAUAUGGAAGAACACCAGUGGCGAAGGCGGCUGUCUGGUCUGUAACUGACGCUGAGGCUCGAAAGCAUGGGUAGCGAACAGGAUUAGAUACCCUGGUAGUCCAUGCCGUAAACGAUGAAUGCUAGGUGUUGGAGGGUUUCCGCCCUUCAGUGCCGCAGCUAACGCAUUAAGCAUUCCGCCUGGGGAGUACGACCGCAAGGUUGAAACUCAAAGGAAUUGACGGGGGCCCGCACAAGCGGUGGAGCAUGUGGUUUAAUUCGAAGCAACGCGAAGAACCUUACCAGGUCUUGACAUCUUUUGAUCACCUGAGAGAUCAGGUUUCCCCUUCGGGGGCAAAAUGACAGGUGGUGCAUGGUUGUCGUCAGCUCGUGUCGUGAGAUGUUGGGUUAAGUCCCGCAACGAGCGCAACCCUUAUGACUAGUUGCCAGCAUUUAGUUGGGCACUCUAGUAAGACUGCCGGUGACAAACCGGAGGAAGGUGGGGAUGACGUCAAAUCAUCAUGCCCCUUAUGACCUGGGCUACACACGUGCUACAAUGGAUGGUACAACGAGUUGCGAGACCGCGAGGUCAAGCUAAUCUCUUAAAGCCAUUCUCAGUUCGGACUGUAGGCUGCAACUCGCCUACACGAAGUCGGAAUCGCUAGUAAUCGCGGAUCAGCACGCCGCGGUGAAUACGUUCCCGGGCCUUGUACACACCGCCCGUCACACCAUGAGAGUUUGUAACACCCGAAGCCGGUGGCGUAACCCUUUUAGGGAGCGAGCCGUCUAAGGUGGGACAAAUGAUUAGGGUG